AGAGUUUGAUCCUGGCUCAGAACGAACGCUGGCGGCGCGCUUAACACAUGCAAGUCGAACGGGAUCCAGAGCUUGCUCUGGUGAGAGUGGCGCACGGGUGAGUAACGCGUGGAUAACCUGCCCUGGUAUCCGGAAUAACAUCUCGAAAGGGGUGCUAAUACCGGAUAAGCCUACGGAGCCCUCGGUCUCUGCAGGAAAAGGUGGCCUCUAUUUAUAAGCUACCGUAUCAGGAUGGGUCCGCGUACCAUUAGCUAGUUGGUGGGGUAAUGGCCUACCAAGGCGACGAUGGUUAGCUGGUCUGAGAGGAUGAUCAGCCACACUGGAACUGAGACACGGUCCAGACUCCUACGGGAGGCAGCAGUGGGGAAUUUUGCGCAAUGGGGGAAACCCUGACGCAGCAACGCCGCGUGAGUGAUGAAGGCUUUCGGGUCGUAAAGCUCUGUCAGAGGGGAAGAAAUGAGAUUGGCUAAUAUCCAAUUUUCUUGACGGUACCCUCAAAGGAAGCACCGGCUAACUCCGUGCCAGCAGCCGCGGUAA
rnacentral:rRNA from 1 species